GAUGAACGCUGGCGGCGUGCCUAAUACAUGCAAGUCGAGCGAACAGAUGAGCAGCUUGCUCCUCUGACGUUAGCGGCGGACGGGUGAGUAACACGUGGAUAACCUACCUAUAAGACUGGGAUAACUUCGGGAAACCGGAGCUAAUACCGGAUAAUAUAUUGAACCGCAUGGUUCAAUAGUGAAAGACGGUUUUGCUGUCACUUAUAGAUGGAUCCGCGCCGCAUUAGCUAGUUGGUAAGGUAACGGCUUACCAAGGCAACGAUGCGUAGCCGACCUGAGAGGGUGAUCGGCCACACUGGAACUGAGACACGGUCCAGACUCCUACGGGAGGCAGCAGUAGGGAAUCUUCCGCAAUGGGCGAAAGCCUGACGGAGCAACGCCGCGUGAGUGAUGAAGGUCUUCGGAUCGUAAAACUCUGUUAUUAGGGAAGAACAAAUGUGUAAGUAACUAUGCACGUCUUGACGGUACCUAAUCAGAAAGCCACGGCUAACUACGUG
rnacentral:rRNA from 1 species